rnacentral:tRNA from 1 species
GAGGAUAUAGCUCAGUGGUAGAGUGCCUGCCUAGCAUGCACAAGGUCCUGGGUUCAAACCCCAGUACUUCU